GACGAACGCUGGCGGCGUGCCUAAUACAUGCAAGUAGAACGCACAGUUUAUACCGUAGCUUGCUACACCAUAGACUGUGAGUUGCGAACGGGUGAGUAACGCGUAGGUAACCUGCCUGGUAGCGGGGGAUAACUAUUGGAAACGAUAGCUAAUACCGCAUAAUAUUAAUUAUUGCAUGAUAAUUAAUUGAAAGGUGCAAUUGCACCACUACCAGAUGGACCUGCGUUGUAUUAGCUAGUAGGUGAGGUAACGGCUCACCUAGGCGACGAUACAUAGCCGACCUGAGAGGGUGAUCGGCCACACUGGGACUGAGACACGGCCCAGACUCCUACGGGAGGCAGCAGGAGGGAAUCUUCGGCAAUGGACGAAAGUCUGACCGAGCAACGCCGCGUGAGUGAAGAAGGUUGUCGGAUCGUAAAGCUCUGUUGUAAGAGAAGAACGGGUGUGAGAGUGGAAAGUUCACACUGUGACGGUAUCUUACCAGAAAGGGACGGCUAACUACGUG
rnacentral:rRNA from 1 species